AGUGAACGCUGGCGGUAGGCCUAACACAUGCAAGUCGAACGGCAGCACAGUAAGGGCUUGCUCUUACGGGUGGCGAGUGGCGGACGGGUGAGGAAUACAUCGGAAUCUACUUUUUCGUGGGGGAUAACGUAGGGAAACUUACGCUAAUACCGCAUACGCCCUACGGGUGAAAGCAGGGGAUCUUCGGACCUUGCGCGAUUGAAUGAGCCGAUGUCGGAUUAGCUAGUUGGCGGGGUAAAGGCCCACCAAGGCGACGAUCCGUAGCUGGUCUGAGAGGAUGAUCAGCCACACUGGAACUGAGACACGGUCCAGACUCCUACGGGAGGCAGCAGUGGGGAAUAUUGGACAAUGGGCGCAAGCCUGAUCCAGCCAUACCGCGUGGGUGAAGAAGGCCUUCGGGUUGUAAAGCCCUUUUGUUGGGAAAGAAAAGCAGCAGGUUAAUACCCCGCUGUUCUGACGGUACCCAAAGAAUAAGCACCGGCUAACUUCGUG
rnacentral:rRNA from 1 species